UUCACAGUCAUCUUCCUCUAGUCAUCUUCCUCUCUAUUCACGCUCCAAACCUUUCUCCUCAGCGCCUUCAUCCACCGCAUUCUUCCAUCAUCAACACCUUUGGGACUUCCAUCACUCUCGUCGUCGUCAAGCAUCGCUGCUCCCGUCCUGUUCCUUCUCUUUCCUUCUUUUACGAGGAUAAACCCUAAUCCUCCUUCAACGACUUUUUCUUCUCUUCAAACCUAACACCGAUGAGACUGGUAGUGAGGAUGAUGGCCUUUUGGAUCUGAGUGAAGAUGAUUUUUUCCUUGCUGGGAGUUCUAGUGAUGAAGCAUAUGCAGAUGAUGAAUGGACAGACAAAAGUACGAGGUGGGUAGAGAUGUUUUACAACUUAAGCAGUUAUUAUAAUAUGAAAAUUCAUAUACUCGCAGCAAGGUAAACGAUGUUAAGAAGAGCAACUGGAGUAUACGUGUUUGUGAUGCUAGUAUGGUCAAAUUAAAGCCAGUAAAUGGGUGUCAAUGAGUGG